UCCCUGGUGGCUCAGAUGUAAAACUUCUGCCUGCAAUGCAGGAGACCUGGGUUUGAUUCCUGGGUCGGGGAG
rnacentral:tRNA from 1 species